GAUGAACGCUGGCGGCGUGCCUAAUACAUGCGAGUCGAGCGAACAGACGAGGAGCUUGCUCCUCUGACGUUAGCGGCGGACGGGUGAGUAACACGUGGAUAACCUACCUAUAAGACUGGGAUAACUUCGGGAAACCGGAGCUAAUACCGGAUAAUAUAUUGAACCGCAUGGUUCAAUAGUGACAGACGGUUUUGCUGUCACUUAUAGAUGGAUCCGCGCCGCAUUAGCUAGUUGGUAAGGUAACAGCUUACCAAGGCAACGAUGCGUAGCCGACCUGAGAGGGGGAUCGGCCACACUGGAAGUGAGACACGGUCCAGACUCCUACGGGAGGCAGCAGUAGGGAAUCUUCCGCAAUGGGCGAAAGCCUGACGGAGCAACGCCGCGUGAGUGAUGAAGGUCUUCGGAUCGUAAAACUCUGUUAUUAGGGAAGAACAAAUGUGUAAGUAACUAUGCACGUCUUGACGGUACCUAAUCAGAAAGCCACGGCUAACUACGUG
rnacentral:rRNA from 1 species